rnacentral:rRNA from 1 species
UACGAAGGGGGGCUAGCGUUGCUCGGAAUCACUGGGCGUAAAGCGCACGUAGGCGGGUCUUUAAGUCAGGGGUGAAAUCCUGGAGCUCAACUCCAGAACUGCCUUUGAUACUGAAGAUCUUGAGUUCGGGAGAGGUGAGUGGAACUGCGAGUGUAGAGGUGAAAUUCGUAGAUAUUCGCAAGAACACCAGUGGCGAAGGCGGCUCACUGGCCCGAUACUGACGCUGAGGCACGAAAGCGUGGGGAGCAAACAGG